CCUACGGGAGGCUGCAGUGGGGAAUAUUGGACAAUGGGCGAAAGCCCGAUCCAGCCAUGCCGCGUGUGUGAAGAAGGCCUUCGGGUUGUAAAGCACUUUCAGUGGGGAAGAAAGCCUUGGGGCUAAUACCCUCGAGGAAGGACAUCACCCACAGAAGAAGCACCGGCUAACUCCGUGCCAGCAGCCGCGGUAAUACGGAGGGUGCGAGCGUUAAUCGGAAUUACUGGGCGUAAAGCGCGCGUAGGCGGUCUGAUAAGCCGGUUGUGAAAGCCCCGGGCUCAACCUGGGAACGGCAUCCGGAACUGUCAGGCUAGAGUGCAGGAGAGGAAGGUAGAAUUCCCGGUGUAGCGGUGAAAUGCGUAGAGAUCGGGAGGAAUACCAGUGGCGAAGGCGGCCUUCUGGACUGACACUGACGCUGAGGUGCGAAAGCGUGGGUAGCAAACAGGAUUAGAUACCCGAGUAGUC
rnacentral:rRNA from 1 species